UUAAUUUGAGAGUUUGAUCCUGGCUCAGGACGAACGCUGGCGGCGUGCCUAAUACAUGCAAGUCGAACGAACUCUGGUAUUGAUUGGUGCUUGCAUCAUGAUUUACAUUUGAGUGAGUGGCGAACUGGUGAGUAACACGUGGGAAACCUGCCCAGAAGCGGGGGAUAACACCUGGAAACAGAUGCUAAUACCGCAUAACAACUUGGACCGCAUGGUCCGAGCUUGAAAGAUGGCUUCGGCUAUCACUUUUGGAUGGUCCCGCGGCGUAUUAGCUAGAUGGUGGGGUAAUGGCUCACCAUGGCAAUGAUACGUAGCCGACCUGAGAGGGUAAUCGGCCACAUUGGGACUGAGACACGGCCCAAACUCCUACGGGAGGCAGCAGUAGGGAAUCUUCCACAAUGGACGAAAGUCUGAUGGAGCAACGCCGCGUGAGUGAAGAAGGGUUUCGGCUCGUAAAACUCUGUUGUUAAAGAAGAACAUAUCUGAGAGUAACUGUUCAGGUAUUGACGGUAUUUAACCAGAAAGCCACGGCUAACUACGUGCCAGCAGCCGCGGUAAUACGUAGGUGGCAAGCGUUGUCCGGAUUUAUUGGGCGUAAAGCGAGCGCAGGCGGUUUUUAAGUCUGAUGUGAAAGCCUUCGGCUCAACCGAAGAAGUGCAUCGGAAACUGGGAAACUUGAGUGCAGAAGAGGACAGUGGAACUCCAUGUGUAGCGGUGAAAUGCGUAGAUAUAUGGAAGAACACCAGUGGCGAAGGCGGCUGUCUGGUCUGUAACUGACGCUGAGGCUCGAAAGUAUGGGUAGCAAACAGGAUUAGAUACCCUGGUAGUCCAUACCGUAAACGAUGAAUGCUAAGUGUUGGAGGGUUUCCGCCCUUCAGUGCUGCAGCUAACGCAUUAAGCAUUCCGCCUGGGGAGUACGGCCGCAAGGCUGAAACUCAAAGGAAUUGACGGGGGCCCGCACAAGCGGUGGAGCAUGUGGUUUAAUUCGAAGCUACGCGAAGAACCUUACCAGGUCUUGACAUACUAUGCAAAUCUAAGAGAUUAGACGUUCCCUUCGGGACAUGGAUACAGGUGGUGCAUGGUUGUCGUCAGCUCGUGUCGUGAGAUGUUGGGUUAAGUCCCGCAACGAGCGCAACCCUUAUUAUCAGUUGCCAGCAUUAAGUUGGGCACUCUGGUGAGACUGCCGGUGACAAACCGGAGGAAGGUGGGGAUGACGUCAAAUCAUCAUGCCCCUUAUGACCUGGGCUACACACGUGCUACAAUGGAUGGUACAACGAGUUGCGAACUCGCGAGAGUAAGCUAAUCUCUUAAAGCCAUUCUCAGUUCGGAUUGUAGGCUGCAACUCGCCUACAUGAAGUCGGAAUCGCUAGUAAUCGCGGAUCAGCAUGCCGCGGUGAAUACGUUCCCGGGCCUUGUACACACCGCCCGUCACACCAUGAGAGUUUGUAACACCCAAAGUCGGUGGGGUAACCUUUUAGGAACCAGCCGCCUAAGGUGGGACAGAUGAUUAGGGUGAAGUCGUAACAAGGUAGCCGUAGGAGAACCUGCGGCUGGAUCACCUCCUUUCUAAGGAA
rnacentral:rRNA from 2 species